rnacentral:tRNA from 1 species
GAGGAUUUAGCUCAGUGGCAUAAGCACCUGCCUUACAAGCAGGCAGUCACGAGUUCAAUCCCCA